rnacentral:rRNA from 1 species
UACGAAGGUGGCAAGCGUUGUCCGGAUUUACUGGGCGUAAAGAGCGCGCAGGCGGUCGUUCAAGUCGCGUGUGAAAGCCCCCGGCUCAACUGGGGAGGGUCACGCGAUACUGAUCGACUCGAAGGCAGGAGAGGGUAGUGGAAUUCCCGGUGUAGUGGUGAAAUGCGUAGAUAUCGGGAGGAACACCAGUGGCGAAGGCGACUACCUGGCCUGUUCUUGACGCUGAGGCGCGAAAGCUAGGGGAGCAAACGGG